rnacentral:rRNA from 1 species
UGGGGAAUUUUGGACAAUGGGCGAAAGCCUGAUCCAGCAAUGCCGCGUGUGUGAAGAAGGCCUUCGGGUUGUAAAGCACUUUUGUCCGGAAAGAAAUCCUUGGCUCUAAUACAGUCGGGGGAUGACGGUACCGGAAGAAUAGGCACCGGCUAACUACGUGCCAGCAGCCGCGGUAAUACGUAGGGUGCAAGCGUUAAUCGGAAUUACUGGGCGUAAAGCGUGCGCAGGCGGUUUGCUAAGACCGAUGUGAAAUCCCCGGGCUCAACCUGGGAACUGCAUUGGUGACUGGCAGGCUAGAGUAUGGCAGAGGGGGGUAGAAUUCCACGUGUAGCAGUGAAAUGCGUAGAGAUGUGGAGGAAUACCGAUGGCGAAGGCAGCCCCCUGGGCCAAUACUGACGCUCAUGCACGAAAGCGCGGGGAGCAAAACAGGAUUAGAUACCCUGGUAGUCCCACGCCCUAAAACGAUGUCAACUAGUUGUUGGGGAUUCAUUUCCUUAGUAACGUAGCUAACGCGUGAAGUUGACCGCCUGGGGAGUACGGUCG